CAGCAGCCGCGGGAACACGUAGGGUGCGAGCGUUAAUCGGAAUUACUGGGCGUAAAGCGUGCGCAGGCGGCUUUGCAAGACAGAUGUGAAAUCCCCGGGCUCAACCUGGGAACUGCAUUUGUGACUGCAAGGCUAGAGUGCGGCAGAGGGAGAUGGAAUUCCGCGUGUAGCAGUGAAAUGCGUAGAUAUGCGGAGGAACACCGAUGGCGAAGGCAAUCUCCUGGGCCUGCACUGACGCUCAUGCACGAAAGCGUGGGGAGCAAACAGGAUUAGAUACCCCCGUAGUCCCUGUCUCUUAUAC
rnacentral:rRNA from 1 species